GUGCUUACUUCAGCAGCACAUACACUAAAACUGGAAGGAUGCAGAGAAGAUCAACAUGGCCCUUGUGCAAAGAUGACAUGCAAAUCUGUGAAAUGUUCCAUAUUUUU
ensembl:snRNA U6 U6 spliceosomal RNA